rnacentral:rRNA from 1 species
UACGUAGGGUGCGAGCGUUAAUCGGAAUUACUGGGCGUAAAGCGUGCGCAGGCGGCUUUGCAAGACAGAUGUGAAAUCCCCGGGCUCAACCUGGGAACUGCAUUUGUGACUGGCAAGCUAGAGUAUGGCAGAGGGGGGUAGAAUUCCACGUGUAGCAGUGAAAUGCGUAGAGAUGUGGAGGAAUACCGAUGGCGAAGGCAGCCCCCUGGGCCAAUACUGACGCUCAUGCACGAAAGCGUGGGGAGCAAACAGG